CGGCUGGAAACGCGCGCUCUGCCACAAAGGUUCCGCCGCCCUACUGCCCGCCUUUACCGAGCGCCCUGCCGGGGGGAGGGGGAAACGGAGGGCGGGAAGCACAGAAACCCGCCCCCUGCCCCCCUCCCAGCCCCGACAGCCCCCACAGGAACCGUCCGGUCGCGGUGACAUGAUCGGUUUAUAAGCUGGGGUCAGGCGCGGCCGCUGGUGGCUGCCCUGACCGGCUUCGCUCAGCGGGUAGAGGGUCAGAAUGCAGACUGAAGAGUCGCGGGUUCGAUUCCAGCCAAGGGCACAUGCCCAGGUUGCAGGCUCCAUCCCCAGUGUGGGGCUGUGCAGGAGGCAGCCCAUCCAUGGUUUUCUCUCAUCAUUGAUGUUUCUCCCUCCCUUCCUCUCUGAAAUCAAUAAGAAUAUAUUAUACAAAUAAAUAAAAGGCUGCACGUGG